rnacentral:rRNA from 1 species
GAACGCUAGCGGCAGGCUUAACACAUGCAAGUCGAGGGGUAUGCUUCUUCGGAAGCAGAGACCGGCGCACGGGUGCGUAACGCGUAUGCAAUCUACCUUUUACAGAGGGAUAGCCCAGAGAAAUUUGGAUUAAUACCUCAUAGCAUUGCAGGAUGGCAUCAUCCAGCAAUUAAAGUCACAACGGUAAAAGAUGAGCAUGCGUCCCAUUAGCUAGUUGGUAAGGUAACGGCUUACCAAGGCUACGAUGGGUAGGGGUCCUGAGAGGGAGAUCCCCCACACUGGUACUGAGACGCGGACCAGACUCCUACGGGAGGCAGCAGUGAGGAAUAUUGGACAAUGGGCGCAAGCCUGAUCCAGCCAUACCGCGUGCAGGAUGACGGUCCUAUGGAUUGUAAACUGCUUUUAUACGAGAAGAAACACUACUUCGUGAAGUAGCUUGACGGUAUCGUAAGAAUAAGGAUCGGCUAACUCCGUGCCAGCAGCCGCGGUAAUACGGAGGAUCCAAGCGUUAUCCGGAAUCAUUGGGUUUAAAGGGUCCGUAGGCGGUUUAAUAAGUCAGUGGUGAAAGCCCAUCGCUCAACGGUGGAACGGCCAUUGAUACUGUUAAACUUGAAUUAUUAGGAAGUAACUAGAAUAUGUAGUGUAGCGGUGAAAUGCUUAGAGAUUACACGGAAUACCAAUUGCGAAGGCAGGUUACUACUAAUGGAUUGACGCUGAUGGACGAAAGCGUGGG